AAGUCGUAACAAGGUCUCCGUAGGUGAACCUGCGGAGGGAUCAUUAACACGUUUCCAUAACGUUUAACUUUCUACACACCAAAUUGCGUGAAUUCAAUCGAAUCAACUUAUACCCGACUUGAGAGGGAGAGAACCUGUCUUUAUACACGGAGUGAUGAGUGUGCGUAUUUGUUAUGUUGGCAACAGCAUAACAUUAGGCAUGCGGUGUAUCUAGGCUUGUAAUGCUCGACAAUACGGGAUCUCUCUCAUUCAAGCUAUCAACAAUUAACCAAUGUUCCCUUCAUCGCUGGAACGAACAACACCCCUUUCACCCCUUUAUAACUAACUAGACUGAUAUUUCUUUUUGACAGUGAGGCUUGCUUUACUGUUUCAAGGAUUGAUUUUAAUCAAAUAUCUAAGCACAACUCUUAGCAACGGAUAUCUUGGUUCUC
rnacentral:misc_RNA from 1 species